rnacentral:rRNA from 1 species
AGGACGAACGCUGGCGGCGUGCUUAACACAUGCAAGUCGAGCGGAAAGGCCCUUCGGGGUACUCGAGCGGCGAACGGGUGAGUAACACGUGAGCAACCUGCCCCUGGCUCUGGGAUAGCCUCCGGAAACGGGGAUUAAUACCGGACAUGACCCUUGACCGCAUGGUUGGGGGUGGAAAGUUUUUCGGCCAGGGUGGGGCUCGCGGCCUAUCAGCUUGGUUGGGGGGUGACGGCCCACCGAAGGCGACGACGGGUAGCC